rnacentral:misc_RNA from 1 species
GAUGAAGAACGCAGCGAAAUGCGAUACUUGGUGUGAAUUGCAGAAUCCCGUGAACCAACGAGUCUUUGAACGCAAGUUGCGCCCGAAGCCAUUAGGCCGAGGGCACGCCUGCCUGGGCGUCACACGUCGUUGCCCCCCCAUCUACUCCUUCGGGAUUGCGGGGGGCGGAUGAUGGCCUCCCGUGCGCCUCGCCGCGCGGUUGGCAUAAAUGCCAAGUCCUCGGCGACGCACGCCACGACAAUCGGUGGUUGCGAAACCUCGGUUGCCCGUCGUGUGCGGUCGUCGCGCAUCGAGGGCUCGAAAAAAUUGCCGGGUUCCGGCUCGGCUUUCAACGCGACCCCAGGUCAGGCGGGGUUACCCGCUGAAUUUAAGCAUAUCAAUAAGCGGAGGA